rnacentral:lncRNA from 1 species
UUAAGAUGUUUAAUAGUUUUUCAGUGUCUCCACAUUGGAAUCAGUGGUUAGCAGUCCACUCAGGCCUCAUGUGAUAUGAACUGAAGGAAGAAGAGAAUUAAAGAAAAACAAAACAAAAAGCAAAACAUCUCUUGGUGUUAUUCUCAGUAAUUUAAUAGCUCUACAAAGUAGAAAAUAAAUUGAGUUCAAAUUUUAAAAUAAUGCAUUACCGAUAAAGAAUCAAGAAAAUUUCAUUUACAUACAGAAAAUUAUAGUUUUUUAAAAUCUAUACAAAAUGUAUCUUUGGGGGACUCUAUCCUAAAAAAAUGACAUGGCACCAUCACAAAAGUGGUUCUGUUUCCUGACUGUAAUUUUUUUUCAAAAUGACUCUUUUGCAGGCUAAAGAGACAGGACAAUUAUUCAGACCUUUGUUUCCAUUUUUUAAAAACCCAGCAAUCAGAGUGAUCCUACUUAUUAAAACAAAGAAAAGGGUCAAUGUGUUCGAAUUGGAAACUAAAAGGAUUUCAUCUCUUAGCUAAACUUCCUGCUUCUAGAUGCCGGCACAUAAUGAUACUAAAAUUGACGGUGGAACUUCAGAGAGCUACCGAGACUAUGAAAUGAAAGGCCUCAUAAAGACAAGUGAUUAACUUAUUUAAAUUUUUUUACUUAUGCACUAAAAAAUAAGUCUUCUCUUAUUUCAGAUAUUACAAUCAAAAUCAUCCUCUAAUGAAAUACUUCUGGAUGUUAAACCACUACGUAUCUAAAAUACAGAAAACCUGGAAAAACCUGAAUGCAUUUUAUUGAAGAUAGAGUGGAAGAAAAACAUGCUGUUAAACUCAAGACUGUCCCAAAUAAUCAAGCCUUAAAUUAAGGAGACUCUCACAGGAGGGAGAAAUGAGCAAAUCAUUACUGAUUGGUUUGAGAGGAUGUUAUUUCAUGCUGUAUUUUACCUCUGGGAAAAGCAGAGAUAUGGAAAAGCUUCCUGAAGCCCCUUCGCUGACAUCUGGCAAGAGCACAAGCAGCUGUAUCCAUGCAUGUGUGAAACUAAAGACAUGGAAAGAAUUAACACCCUGAAUCCACUGCCGUUGGCAUAUCAAUCCAGACCCCAACUGCUGCUUCUUAAAAAUCAAAACCUCAGAAAAUGUGUUGAAAUGUCAAUUUGACUGCUUGAUAUUAAAGGAAACAUUUUAUAGCAAUAAAAAUGUUGCAUAUAGUAUAUUUGUCAACUUGAUCAUUUCCUUACCUAAUCUUGAUUCUGUAUGUUUUCCAAGACAAACACUAGUUUUAGGUUCCUUUGAGUGAUUCCAAAUUAAAUCAGUCAAAAAGUAAACAAAUAACAGCAACUUUUAGAAUCUGAAUGUUUCUU